GACCUAUAUAGUGCCAAAUUGCAACUUUGGUUUAUGAAGAUAUAAGUCUUCAUAGGUUUA
rnacentral:tRNA from 1 species